CCUACGGGAGGCAGCAGUGGGGAAUAUUGCACAAUGGGGGAAACCCUGAUGCAGCCAUGCCGCGUGUGUGAAGAAGGCCUUCGGGUUGUAAAGCACUUUCAGUUGUGAGGAAAAGUUAGUAGUUAAUACCUGCUAGCCGUGACGUUAACAACAGAAGAAGCACCGGCUAACUCCGUGCCAGCAGCCGCGGUAAUACGGAGGGUGCGAGCGUUAAUCGGAAUUACUGGGCGUAAAGCGCACGCAGGCGGUUUGUUAAGCUAGAUGUGAAAGCCCCGGGCUCAACCUGGGAUGGUCAUUUAGAACUGGCAGACUAGAGUCUUGGAGAGGGGAGUGGAAUUCCAGGUGUAGCGGUGAAAUGCGUAGAUAUCUGGAGGAACAUCAGUGGCGAAGGGGACUCCCGGGGCAAAGACUGACGCUCAUGGGAGAAAGG
rnacentral:rRNA from 1 species